rnacentral:rRNA from 1 species
UCAGACAUGCAAGUCGAACGCGAAAGUCCCCUUCGGGGGACAAGUAGAGUGGCGCACGGGUGAGUAACACGUAGGUAAUCUACCUUUGGAUGGGGAAUAACAACCGGAAACGGUUGCUAAUACCGCAUAAUGCAGCGGCACCUAAUGGUGACAGUUGUUAAAGCGGGGGAUCGAAAGACCUCGCGUCUGAAGAGGAGCCUGCGGCGGAUUAGCUAGUUGGUAAGGUAAUGGCUUACCAAGGCUACGAUCCGUAACCGGCCUGAGAGGGCGGUCGGUCACACUGACACUGACAUACGGGUCAGACUCCUACGGGAGGCAGCAGUCGGGAAUUUUGGGCAAUGGGCGAAAGCCUGACCCAGCAACGCCGCGUGAAGGAUGAAAUCCCUCGGGAUGUAAACUUCGCAAGAACGGGAAGAAUAAGUAGGGGACAAUACCCCCUAUGAUGACGGUACCGUUUGUAAGCUCCGGCUAACUCCGUGCCAGCAGCCGCGGUAAUACGGGGGGAGCAAGCGUUGUUCGGAUUUACUGGGCGUAAAGGGCGCGUAGGCGGCCAGCACAAGUCAAUUGUGAAAUCUCCGAGCUUAACUCGGAAAGGUCAACUGAUACUGUGCGGCUAGAGUGCGGAAGGGGCAACUGGAAUUCUUGGUGUAGCGGUGAAAUGCGUAGAUAUCAAGAGGAACACCUGCGGCGAAGGCGGGUUGCUGGGCCGACACUGACGCUGAGGCGCG